UCCACAUUGUCUACUUGUCCCUACUAUUUGUCCAACUUGGGUUUCUCUACCAAGGAUGCACAUUUUUUCAUGAAUCUGGAUUGCUUUUUAACAGCCAAUAAUCUAAUUUUUACUUCAUGAAUUAUUUACAAGUGAUAUUGGUGCUUAUGAGAUUUAUGCAGAAAUUCUCAUGUUGAGUGGUCAUAUUGUUGUUCCCAAUGGAGACAUAAGCGCGUGCUGAUGUUUAAGUCUUUUUGUGCAGGUUUUUGAAGAAUUUGAUCUUGUUCCUAUAGAAAGUGCUUCCCUUGCACAAGUUCAUGUUGCUCGUACGCAUGAUGGCAAAAAGUUGCUGUUAAGAUCAUGCCACUGUGGAGCUGAUUGUGAAUACCCUUCAUAAGUUUUUUCCUUCUUUUGACUAUAGAUGGUUGCUUGAUGAAAUGGCGUGAAAGUUUGCCCAAGGUCAACUACUUGCUUAUUGCAAGUACUGUUGCUAUGUAAUUGAACUUCUGUAGGCUUGUUAGAAAUGAAAUUCCUCUAGGUUUCUAUUUUCAAUUAUUUGAAAUGAACUUCUGUAGACUUGUUGGAAUGAAUUGUGCUACUGACUUUGGGUAUUAGAAGACCACAGGAAAGGAUAGGCGUGUUCACUACAAAAGUUAAGGUGUGGGGAUGAUAAAGACUCUGGCUUUCCACCGAGGUAAAGCUCCAAAAGGUGACCGAACUGAUUGGGUUAUGCAUUUUUGUUUUUGGUUAUGCACACAUGAUAGUGCAAUUUUGGAUUUUCAUGGCUCAUGUUGCUAAAAAAUCCAUGUAUGGACUAUUGACUUUAUA